rnacentral:rRNA from 1 species
AAAGUUGUUGCAGUUAAAAAGCUCGUAGUUGGACUUCUGGGUUGUGAUUGUGGUCCGCCUAACGGUGUGCACUGUGGUUGCGACUCUUCUUCCCGUAGUUUGGGGGUGCACUUAGUUGUGUGCUUUUGGAAUAUGGGACCUUUACUUUGAAAAAAUUAGAGUGUUCAAAGCAGGCCUUCGCUUGAAUACAUUAGCAUGGAAUAAUAGAAUAGGACUUUGGUUCUAUUUUGUUGGUUUCUAGGACCGAAGUAAUGAUUAAUAGGGACAGUUGGGGGCAUUAGUAUUUAAUUGUCAGAGGUGAAAUUCUUGGAUUUAUGAAAGACUAACUACUGCGAAAGCAUUUGCCAAGGAUGUUUUCAUUAAUCAAGAACGAAAGUUAGGGGAUCGAAGACGAUCAGAUACCGUCGUAGUCUUAACCAUAAACUAUGCCGACUUGGGAUCGGUGGGGUGAAAUUUCGCCUUAUCGGCACCAUAUGAGAAAUCAAAGUUUUUGGGUUCUGGGGGGAGUAUGGUCGCAAGGCUGAAACUUAAAGGAAUUGACGGAAG